GUACCUUUCUUGGCCUCUUGGCUAAGAUCAAGUGUAGUAUCUGUUCUUGUUAGUUUAAUAUCUGAUAUGUGGGCCGGCUAUUGGUUCACUUUUUAUUAAAUAAAUUAAUUUUUUGAGGGGGAGGCCCACUACAGUAGCAAUGGUAUCUCUCAUGCGUUUCAUUGGUGUUGCAGCCUUGGCCUGACGCACCCCAC